rnacentral:rRNA from 1 species
AGUGAACGCUGGCGGUAGGCCUAACACAUGCAAGUCGAACGGCAGCACAGUAAGAGCUUGCUCUUACGGGUGGCGAGUGGCGGACGGGUGAGGAAUACAUCGGAAUCUACUUUUUCGUGGGGGAUAACGUAGGGAAACUUACGCUAAUACCGCAUACGACCUACGGGUGAAAGCAGGGGAUCUUCGGACCUUGCGCGAUUGAAUGAGCCGAUGUCGGAUUAGCUAGUUGGCGGGGUAAAGGCCCACCAAGGCGACGAUCCGUAGCUGGUCUGAGAGGAUGAUCAGCCACACUAGAACUGAGACACGGUCCAGACUCCUACGGGAGGCAGCAGUGGGGAAUAUUGGACAAUGGGCGCAAGCCUGAUCCAGCCAUACCGCGUGGGUGAAGAAGGCCUUCGGGUUGGAAAGCCCUUUUGUUGGGAAAGAAAAGCAGCAGGUUAAUACCCCGCUGUUCUGACGGUACCCAAAGAAUAAGCACCGGCUAACUUCGUG